rnacentral:rRNA from 1 species
AACGAACGCUGGCGGCAGGCUUAACACAUGCAAGUCGAACGCCCCGCAAGGGGAGUGGCAGACGGGUGAGUAACGCGUGGGAACAUACCAUUUCCUGCGGAAUAGCUCUGGGAAACUGGAAUUAAUACCGCAUACGCCCUACGGGGGAAAGAUUUAUCGGGGAAGGAUUGGCCCGCGUUGGAUUAGCUAGUUGGUGGGGUAAAGGCCUACCAAGGCGACGAUCCAUAGCUGGUCUGAGAGGAUGAUCUGCCACAUUGGGACUGAGACACGGCCCAAACUCCUACGGGAGGCAGCAGUGGGGAAUAUUGGACAAUGGGCGCAAGCCUGAUCCAGCCAUGCCGCGUGAGUGAUGAAGGCCUUAGGGUUGUAAAGCUCUUUCACCGAUGAAGAUAAUGACGGUAGUCGGAGAAGAAGCCCCGGCUAACUUCGUGCCAGCCGCCGCCGUAAGAC